AGAGUUUGAUCAUGGCUCAGGAUGAACGCUGGCGGCGUGCCUAACACAUGCAAGUCGAGCGAGAAUUAAGAUAACAAAUCUUCGGAAGAGUUAUCUUAAUGAAAGCGGCGGACGGGUGAGUAACGCGUAGGCAACCUGGCUCAUACAGAGGGAUAGCUCCGGGAAACCGGGAUUAAUACCUCAUAACACCGAGAUGUCACAUGGCAUUUUGGUCAAAGAUUUAUCGGUAUGAGAUGGGCCUGCGUCUGAUUAGCUAGUUGGUAGGGUAACGGCCUACCAAGGCAACGAUCAGUAGCCGACCUGAGAGGGUGAUCGGCCACACUGGAACUGAGACACGGUCCAGACUCCUACGGGAGGCAGCAGUGGGGAAUAUUGCACAAUGGGCGCAAGCCUGAUGCAGCAACGCCGCGUGAGCGAUGAAGGCCUUCGGGUCGUAAAGCUCUGUCCUAGGGGAAGAAUAAAUGACGGUACCCUGGGAGGAAGCCCCGGCUAACUACGUGCCAGCAGCCGCGGUAAUACGUAGGGGGCAAGCGUUAUCCGGAAUUAUUGGGCGUAAAGAGUGCGUAGGUGGUUUGGUAAGCGCAUAGGUGAAAGGCUACAGCUCAACUGUGGUAAGCCUUGCGAACUGUCAAACUUGAGUGCAGGAGAGGAGAGCGGAAUUCCUAGUGUAGCGGUGAAAUGCGUAGAUAUUAGGAGGAACACCAGUGGCGAAGGCGGCUCUCUGGACUGUAACUGACACUGAGGCACGAAAGCGUGGGGAGCGAACAGGAUUAGAUACCCUAGUAGUCC
rnacentral:rRNA from 1 species